UAUUUCGUAUUUAUAUUAUUUAUCUUCACUUUCUUUUUGAUUGGAUAUGAAAGAUGACCUUUAAGACAGUGUAUUACGUCAUAGCAGGUGCCCGUGAAACUGUUUAUAUACACAUUGUAUGUAGUAAUGAUUAUCAGACAGCAUCUCUAGUACCAUAGCAAUUACAUAUAGCAACCUGUUGCCAAAUAUACUCACUAUAAAUAACUAGACCUACAUCCUAUAUUUACAGAUCUAUCACUGAAGCACGGAACAAUUCAACAUUAUGGAUGCUAAAUACCAAAAGAGAAGUGGAAGAGUUGUGGGCCGUGAUGAGUUUCCAGAUAAUGUAGACAGCACUCAAGAUAAAGAAGAUUUCCUUAUAUGGCAGAUUCAUUCUUGAAGAUGGAAACAAAAGUAAACUUAGGAGACCAGAAUGUUACAUUAGAAAAGAGAAAUUAUUGUAAAACCAUGCCUAUAGCGUUAGCAAGGGGAGGCUAUUCAGUCCGUGUAGGUUCAAAGACUGCGAGAUCAGUCUGCAAAUCAACAUAGAAUUUUACGAUUAGGCUAUAUUAUACAUUCAACAGUACUACAGACAUUAAUUCUUCGCCAUGCUAACUCCCCAAAUGAGAAAUUAAUCAGCUUAUAGGCCUGCAAUGUGGAACUAGCCAAAUAGGCUACUCGGGCGAAGGAAGGGGAAGUAACUCACGUUCAAGUUUAGAUUACUAAAUGAAAUAAUUUAUCAAACCAACGAAAUUUCUGAUAAUGACCGUUAGAAAUAUAUCAACAGUACGUGUAGGGGCCUAAUGCUUUACUGUAAUACCUAUCGUAAAGGGGAAUAACCCGAGUUGCAACAAUUAUUAGAGCUGAUUUGCCGUUUAAGUUUCAAUUUCGCCAGUUAAAUAUUUGUUUUUCCAUUGAAGUGCAAUAUCUCAUAUCCUCAUAGACAAAGGCCACAUGUAAUAAAUUAUCAUCAAUCGAAAUAUUAAAUAUCUACGUACCAUAAUUAUCAUUAGGUUAUUUAUUAAGAAAUUGAUUGACAGAAUUAUGAUAGUGUAAUUACACUGAUUAUACUUUCGAUUUUUUAACAAAUUCUUAAAAAUGAAUUAAGAAAUAAUUUAUUCUGCCCUUUCCCAAGGAUUUUCAAUGCAAUUUAAAGAACAUUCUCAUAUAGAGCAGCUUUUUAACAUCUAUAUUUAGUUCAGUUUUGUAUAUUAUUAUGUUAUUUUGAGUGUUACUUUAUUAUUUUGAAUUUGAUUUUUUCCAAUUGUUUGAAGUUUGUGUUUUUGUGGCUUUUAUUUUAAUUUUUAAUAACGUUUCGCCAUAUUACAUAACAAUAAACGAUGUUUAUUUAUUAUUUCAUCCACUCUAAUUAAAAAUAGAUAUUUAUUUCUUUCGACAUGUACCGGUACAUAUAUAUAUUAUUGGUCUACGUAGUGCAAGUGUAAAUGACAUAAACACGAAAAAGAAAUUGUUAUUAGACUAUAAGGAAUGUGAAAUAUUAAAUACGUAUAUAUUAUACAUUUAUAUUCAGAUAUUUAAAAUUGAACUGAGUGAUCGGAUCAAAAAGUAUCUGACAUUGUGGAACGUUAUGCACUAUUAUUUUUAAGUGAUUUUUGUUUUGUUUUUUUUUUUGUUGUUUUUUUCUUCUCAUUUAAUCCCAUAGUAUUUUCUUGUAAUAAAAUUGUAUAUGAAUAUUUA